rnacentral:rRNA from 1 species
UACGGAGGGUGCGAGCGUUGUCCGGAAUCACUGGGCGUAAAGGGCGCGUAGGCGGCCUGAUAAGUAGGGGGUGAAAUCCUGCGGCUUAACCGCAGGGCUGCCUUCUAAACUGUCAGGCUAGAGCACGGUAGAGGCAGAUGGAAUUCCCGGUGUAGCGGUGGAAUGCGUAGAGAUCCGGAAGAACACCGGUGGCGAAGGCGGCCUGCUGGGCAGUUGCUGACGCUGAGGCGCGACAGCGUGGGGAGCAAACAGG